CCUUUUUCUUGUUGGUAUACGACACAUAACACACUUGAGUUGCUUGCAUUGCCAGAAUAAAAGGCUCAUAUUUUUUAUAUCGACGACGUUGAUUAAUCUCAACCAAUUUGUACUGAUUAUGCCUUUUGACACCAACAUCCAUAGUUGGGUCAAACCAUUCACAUUUAAUAAUACAGUUUGCUUCAAAGGUGCUUCAGGGUAUUCCACUUGUAUAAUCUCUUUUAUCCGUCCAAAAUAAUCACCAAAAUUUGAAUCUGAGAUACAAACUCCACUAUUCAUUGUUGAUCUUGCGCUACCAUGACAUUUUGUGUGAAAUUUGUAUCCAUUAACAAAUAAACAGAAUGACAUGUAGCACUUAUUAAUGGUCCACGGGCA
rnacentral:lncRNA from 1 species